AGUGAACGCUGGCGGUAGGCCUAACACAUGCAAGUCGAACGGCAGCACAGUAAGAGCUUGCUCUUACGGGUGGCGAGUGGCGGACGGGUGAGGAAUACAUCGGAAUCUACUUUUUCGUGGGGGAUAACGUAGGGAAACUUACGCUAAUACCGCAUACGACCUACGGGUGAAAGCAGGGGAUCUUCGGACCUUGCGCGAUUGAAUGAGCCGAUGUCGGAUUAGCUAGUUGGCGGGGUAAAGGCCUACCAAGGCGACGAUCCGUAUCUGGUCUGAGAGGAUGAUCAGCCACACUGGAACGGAGACACGGUCCAGACUCCUACGGGAGGCAGCAGUGGGGAAUAUUGGACAAUGGGCGCAAGCCUGAUCCAGCCAUACCGCGUGGGUGAAGAAGGCCUUCGGGUUGGAAAGCCCUUUUGUUGGGAAAGAAAAGCAGCAGGUUAAUACCCCGCUGUUCUGACGGUACCCAAAGAAUAAGCACCGGCUAACUUCGUG
rnacentral:rRNA from 1 species